AUUGAACGCUGGCGGCACGCCUAACACAUGCAAGUCGAGCGGCAGCGCGAUCAGUAGCAAUACUGAUUGGCGGCGAGCGGCGGACGGGUGAGUAACACGUAGGAACCUGCCCAGAAGUGGGGGAUAACUAAUGGAAACGUUAGCUAAUACCGCAUACAUUCGGGAGAAGAAAGCUGCAGCAAUGUGGCGCUUUUGGAGGGGCCUGCGUACGAUUAGCUAGUUGGUGAGGUAAUGGCUCACCAAAGCGAUGAUCGUUAACUGGUCUGAGGACGGCCAGUCACACUGGGACUGAGACACGGCCCAGACUCCUACGGGAGGCAGCAGUGGGGAAUCUUGGACAAUGGGGGAAACCCUGAUCCAGCGAUGCCGUGUGAGUGAAGAAGGCCCUCGGGUCGUAAAGCUCUUUAGGCUGGGAAGAAGGAUGGUUGAGGAAAUGCUUCCAUUUUGACGGUACCAGCAGGAUAAGCACCGGCAA
rnacentral:rRNA from 1 species